UACGAAGGGUGCAAGCGUUACUCGGAAUUACUGGGCGUAAAGCGUGCGUAGGUGGUCUGUUAAGUCUGAUGUGAAAGCCCUGGGCUCAACCUGGGAAUUGCAUUGGAUACUGGCAGGCUAGAGUGCGGUAGAGGGUAGUGGAAUUCCCGGUGUAGCAGUGAAAUGCGUAGAUAUCGUAAGGAAGACCAGUGGCGAAGGCGAAUCUCUGGACAGUUACUGACGCUGAGGCACGAAGGCCAGGGGAGCAAACGGG
rnacentral:rRNA from 1 species